AAGUCGUAACAAGGUUUCCGUAGGUGAACCUGCGGAAGGAUCAUUAACAAAUCUGUGAGAGUGGGGGGGUGAGUUGGGGGGAGAGAGUGUGGUGUGGGUGGGGUGCGUUACUUUACGGUAACUUGUCACACACACACACACAUCAAUCCUCAACGAUCCAACCCAACACACAUUGACUCGGGCGCUACUCUGUGAUCACCUUCUUGGUGGUUCCGGUGGAGAUUGCCCUGAGACAUACACGCUUGUUUUGUUUGACUGUAUUAUCAAUAAUUUAAUUAUGACAACUUUUAACAAUGGAUCUCUUGGCUCUU
rnacentral:misc_RNA from 1 species